AACGAACGCUGGCGGCAUGCCUAACACAUGCAAGUCGAACGAAGGCUUCGGCCUUAGUGGCGCACGGGUGAGUAACGCGUGGGAAACUGCCUAUUGGUGGGGAAUAACGACGGGAAACUGUCGCUAAUACCGCAUAAGCCCUUCGGGGGAAAGAUUUAUCGGCGAUAGAUGUGCCCGCGUCCGAUUAGCUAGUUGGUGAGGUAAUGGCUCACCAAGGCGACGAUCGGUAGCUGGUCUGAGAGGAUGAUCAGCCACACUGGGAGUGAGACACGGGCCAGAUUCCUACGGGAGGCAGCAGUGGGGAAUAUUGGACAAUGGGCGAAAGCCUGAUCCAGCAAUGCUGGGUGAGUGAUGAAGGCCUUAGGGUUGUAAAGCUCUUUCGGGUGGGACGAUGAUGACGGUACCACCAGAAGAAGCCCCGGCUAACUUCGUGCCAGCCGCCGCAGUAA
rnacentral:rRNA from 1 species